UACGGAGGGUGCAAGCGUUAUCCGGAAUCACUGGGUUUAAAGGGUGCGUAGGCGGCCUUGCAAGUCAGAGGUGAAAUGCCGAUGCUUAACAUCGGAACUGCCUUUGAAACUGCAAAGCUUGAAUUAGGUUGAGGUUAGCGGAAUGUGUCAUGUAGCGGUGAAAUGCAUAGAUAUGACAUAGAACACCAAUUGCGAAGGCAGCUGGCUAGGCCUUAAUUGACGCUGAGGCACGAAAGCGUGGGGAGCGAACAGG
rnacentral:rRNA from 1 species